rnacentral:rRNA from 1 species
GGAAUGAUGGUGACUUAAACCCUCACCAGAGUACCAAUUGGAGGGCAAGUCUGGUGCCAGCAGCCGCGGUAAUUCCAGCUCCAAUAGCGUAUAUUAAACUUGUUGCAGUUAAAAAGCUCGUAGUUGAAUUUCAGCGUUUCGCGUGUGCCUCUUUUGGCCCAUCUCGUCUCGCUUUUUUUAUUACUUUGAGAAAAUUAGAGUGUUUCAAGCAGGCUUUUGUCUUGAAUACUUGAGCAUGGAAUAAUAGAGUAGGACCUUGGUUCUAUUUUGUUGGUUUUGUUACCUUGGUAAUGGUUAAUAGGAACGGUUGGGGGCAUUCGUAUUUAACUGUCAGAGGUGAAAUUCUUAGAUUUGUUAAAGACGAACUACUGCGAAAGCAUUUGCCAAGGACGUUUCCAUUAAUCAAGAACGAAAGUUAGGGGAUCGAAGACGAUCAGAUACCGUCGUAGUCCUAACCA